CGGGGUGAGUAAUGUCUGGGAAACUGCCUGAUGGAGGGGGGUAACUACUGGAAACGGUAGCUAAUACCGCAUAAUGUCGCAAGACCAAAGUGGGGGACCUUCGGGCCUCUUGCCAUCGGAUGUGCCCAGAUGGGAUUAGCUAGUAGGUGGGGUAACGGCUCACCUAGGCGACGAUCCCUAGCUGGUCUGAGAGGAUGGCCAGCCACACUGGAACUGAGACACGGUCCAG
rnacentral:rRNA from 1 species